UAUUUGAGUAGGUAGACAAGACUUGACUGAAAAUCCCAUCUGCAGUAGAUCUAUGAAAAUAAUGAUCCAGAAGCAUUUCCCUCUCUUUGCUCCCAUUGCUAUUCUAAAUGCUGUACCAACAGAGAAGAAACCUGAGAAUUUAAUUGCUCAUCAGAAGUCAGCUAAGCAUCCAGAGAGAGCCCUCUCCAGGACAAGAUGGCAAGCUUUCUCCUCUUUGGACUUGGGGCCCAUCAGUGUCUUCCACCCAUAUUGGAAGUGUUCGAACACGAAUGUGUUCCUUCCUGCCUGAUGUAUGCACAGAGCUAAGAAGCUUUGGGUUCCUGCUCCGGAACACUGUCUCAAGAAUAUUAAUAGCUGCCUACACAUCUCCAAACAGAGUUGUUACAUCACUCAAUCUCUGCUAAGUUCUAAUCAGAACAUAGAUUGUGGUGCUGGAGGGUCCAUCAUAUGGCUCCUGCUCAAGUUUACUGUACAGAAAAUUGCCUGUCCUAAGAGACCUUUGCUGAACCUGCUCACAGCUCUUUCCAACAGUACCAAGACAGUAUUAGGAUGAUUUAUGAUUUUAAAUAAAACUCUGUUGUUGGAACCUGAUGUUGCAGUACAUGUCUGUGCCAUAAAAGGUGCAUAUUUCUGUAGGGUUAGGGCAUCUUGGUGAAAUGUAAAGUGUUUUUGGAGAUGUCUUCAAAUAGACCCGGAAAGCUUUCUAAAAGUGUAGUGAAUGAGUCCACGGAGCAUAGAAUUAAUCAACUGACUACAAACCGUGUGUCACAGGUACUUCAGAAGGUCUGAAUCACAAAGCCCUUCCUGUUUCACCCCCUUCCCUGACAGUUGAAAAGCCCACAGUGAUUUGCAUCUUUUAAUUACAGGCUCCAUAUAUAAUUGGGAGCGAGUGGGAGAUGGGUAGAGUUCUGUGGAUAGAUUGUAUAUGUACAUAAAGAUAACUUGUUUUUGUGAUGCCGAGGAGAAUUCUCGGCUUGAUAUAUAAGCUGAUUCAAAAUCCAUAAAGUCUUCUUGCCUCAGGCCAAAACUUGUAACAGUUAUAUUACCUUCCUUGUAUUGAUGUAUAAUUUCAGUCAUUUUGCAGAAAAUAUGACCUAGAAUUUUCUGAGGCACAGUAAAUAGAGUAAACAGAUCUGUUGUACUUGUUUUGUACAAACCAACCAGUUUAGAGAAACACAGAACUGUCUGUAUCUCCAAGCUCACAGUAAGCCUAAUACCAAAAGACAGAGCACAGAAGAUUUAUAUAACAUGUCUUAAGUGUGGACUUAAAAAAUAAAUAUGUUUCUGAACAGAAAAACAAC